rnacentral:misc_RNA from 1 species
GAAAUGCGAUAAGUAAUGUGAAUUGCAGAAUCCAGUGAAUCAUCGAAUCUUUGAACGCACCUUGCACCCUCUGGUAUUCCGGAGGGUAUGCCUGUUUGAGUGUCAUGAAUACCUCAUCCUAUCACUUUGUUUUUAUUAACGAGUCGUAGUGAUGGUUGUGAGCGUUGCCGGUAUUCUAUCGGCUCGUUUUAAAAUCAUUAGCUGGAUCCAUUUUGACCUGGUUCUACUCGGCGUAAUAAAUUAUUACCGUCGAGGACAUUCAUCCUCACGGAUAGAUGGCCACAGUAAGGAUGCCGAACCGCUUCCAAUCCGUCGAUGGCGUGUUGCAAAACACAUCGUGACAAUAGCAUCUCUGACCUCAAAUCAGGUAGGACUACCCGCUGAACUUAA